UGGCCCAAACUGCCAGUAGUGCUGAAGUUGAGAAUCUCUGUUCUAGACCAUUAAAAGGGGGUAGAAUUGGCCAGAAGGCAUUUAGAAUCAGAACUCAGUGUUUUGAAACAGCACUCAAAUCUUAGAAAAUUAACUUCACUGAUUCCUGGAAAAUGCUUACGUUUUAAAACACCAACUUUAUUCAAAUACUAACCCCAUCUGUACAUUAAGAAACAAGCAAAAUAGAAGUAAAUGUUUUAUUCUUCCAACUAAAUUCCAGUACUACAAGGGCAGUAAAACAAUGAUACACUGGAAAAAAAAAAAUGCAGCAAUAAACAUUUGUUAAAAAGACUGAUAGAAUAAAUAAAACUACAAAAAAAAAAAAAAUCAUACAAACCCAUUCUGAAACCCCAAGAAGUCCUGGAAUACAGAAAUGCCCUCCUCCUUCACUAUUUCACAGGAAGCACUGCAGGCUAUUUGCUUAAUAUUGUCCUGGGAUUACAUUCUAAAAUUAGUAACUGGUUACAGCUCGGUUGUAGUGCACAAUUAAAAUCACACUAACUUCAUCUGAAGUGUCAUUCUACAGUUUUAUUUACACAACCAGUGAAGGGCAUGUUCUAGAAUACCAGCUUUAAUCCUUUUCAAACAUUAAUAUAAGAAGCCAAAUUGUAAUGAUACAGCAAAAUGAGGCCACUGGUAUUAAUACAGGUAGCAAAGGUCCACAUCCAGGUGGUACUGACAUCAGGGAAAUUUCCAAAACCAGUUGCUGCUGCCUAAGAGUGGUUGCCACUGACGAAAGCUUGAAAUAACCUGUAUUCACAGAAGGG
rnacentral:lncRNA from 10 species